GAGGGGGAGGAGGAGGAGUCACGAGGAGGGUGGCCCCGGCCGGCCGAGCCUCUCGCUCCGGGCUCCCGGCCCUCGGCCCCAGCCCGCGCCUCCGUCCUGCCGGGCCAUGCUCUGUGCCCCUCGGCCUUCCCUUGCCUCCUCGCGGGCUCCGGAGAUCACCGGAAUGGGGACCGCGCUCUGCGCAUUUUGAGGGAAGAAUUGCGUGGACUCGAGCAAACGUACCCGCCCAACCAGCAUGAUGCCUGCGAUGUCCUGGAUACCAAGGGGCACAACACUGGAAUCGACUCGGACCCUGCCUGCCCACACGUUGCUCGAAAAUUAAUAGAGAUCGGACCUCUGCGCGAAAUCUUAGGCUUCAUCACAUGUCACCUGUGUCUCAGCAUGUCAUCUUUGUCACCAAGGCCAUCCACAGUCUGACCCCAGGAGCUGCCCUUAUCCCCACAGCCCUCUGGGUGGACAAGCUUCAGCUGGAGCAGCUUAAAACCACCUCAGACCCCCAGGAGUCUGCCUGCAGCCCACCUCUAGAUGAGCCUGAAGAUGAAACCACUUCUCAUGUUUUUUGGUGACAGCAAAUGGUGAUAAUACUGGCAUUGCAUGACUGCCAGGGAGAACCACCAUACUUUUUGACAUUCUGGAUUAGUGAGGGCCAUCAGCAGGUAGGACUUCCACAGACUCUCUCUGAUUUCAGGUUCAUGGGAAACCAUGGUUAAUACAUAUGACUGGUCAUUAAAUUUCAGUUUAGCCCCUAGUCCCACCCUCUAACCUCCUUUCCCACCCAGCCAUCACUGAUGCUAAAACAAAGUGAAUGGUUUAAGUUUUUUCUUUGAAUAUGAGUAAGAUAUGGACGAACCAAUAAAAUAUGAAUAAAAAAGUGAGAAAUUUG